CGUCUUACUGCCCAACAUGGCGGACUUUGAUACAAUUUAUGAGUUAGAAGAAGAAGACGAACGAAUAGUGAGUGAAGAGCACCUCGCAAGAUACUGCCCCGAACCUGUGAUAAUGCGAGGGGCAGGCCACAUCACUGUGUUUGGACUUAGCAACAAAUUUGACACAGAAUUCCCAUCUGUUCUGACAGGAAAGGUUGCCCCAGAAGAGUUCAAGACAAGCAUCAACCGGGUAAAUGCUUGCUUGAAGAAGAACUUACCAGUUAAUGUGAAAUGGCUACUGUGCGGCUGCUUGUGCUGUUGCUGUACUGUGGGCUGCAGUCUGUGGCCAGUCAUAUGCCUCAACAAGAGGACACGGCGAUCCAUUCAGAAGUUAUUAGAAUGGGAAAACAACAGAUUAUAUCACAAGCUAUUUUUGGCUGGGCUAUUGAUAGAUUGCAGAGGCUGACCAGACUGUGCAAAGGUCAGCAGUAAAAAAAAUGGCUUGUGUCUCACACCAGAGGCUGACAGACUCUGCAGCCUGAAUAGUGAGGAAAACUCCUCAGAACACUAACUGCUGUUUGAUCCGGGUGAACCCACAUGUGUAAAGCCUGUCUGCAUGUCUGGAGUGCUUGUGUGGACUGGGAACCUGUAGAGCAUUCACUAACUCCAGUGCUUUAUAAUUCUCAUCAGCUGGGAUUGCACUGGAAACUCAGUAGAAGAAAAUGUGAGAGUAAUAACAUGAUGGAAUAUGUGAUUCUUAUAGAAUUCUUACCGAAAUAUCCAAUAUUCAGACCGGACUAAGAGCACUGCAGAGGGAUGCUGGUGAAUGGCUCUCACUCCGCUCCUUACUUAGUGCCUUGUAUAUAAACUUGGAUUGAGGGUCUUCACAGGUGUCUCUGUGUGGCCCUUUUUUUCCUCCCAGUACCUUGUACAGUAGAGUUCGCAACACUGUCACUUUGCUUUAGAGCAGAUUUUGCACAUUUCCAAAUACAGUAGAAUCGCACCGUGUUGCACCUGAAUGGUUUUGUUACAAAAAUUUAUUAACAUUUCUGUUGAAAAGUGCAUUUAACCCAGAAGUCAUCCAUCCUUCCCACCUUCAUAUGUUGACCACAACAAUAUGUUGAUAAAAUCAAGGCACCUUAAGGUGUGUAUUUGCCUUAUGAUAAAAAUAAAACCUUUGUUAAUAGAGGUGGAUGAAACUUCAGGUUGUAGUGAAAUGUCGCUUUGCUUUAGAGCAAAUCUUGCACAUUUCCUGAGGGUAGUUGCUCUAAAGCAAAAUGAAAAUGUUCAGGGUUCUCCUAUGCUAGUGGAAUGGGAAGGGAAUUUAAAGUAGCUAAAAUGUUUGUCAGCAUGUUUUGUUUUUUUUGUCUGCACUUUGGUGAUGUUCCUCUAUACAGGGGCAAGUUAAAGAAACAGACCAUUUGAAUAUAAUUUUGGACAAGAUGUACAGCCUAGUAUUUCAUGUUUACAUAAUGUAACUUAGCUGGCGAUUAGUUUUCUGCCAAUCUAUUAUUGUAACAUAGUUUUGUUUAUAAACUGCAUCUCUGUAACUUUCCAGUCUAUAUGGACCCGUUUACUUAGAAAGCCAUAACAUGUAUGUAUAACACGCCAGUCAAAAGGUGAGGGCUGAAAAUUGCACUUGAGCACACGGGCUUUCAGUUGAUUGUCCCCGAUUUUUUUUCCUUUUUUAUGUUGUAUAUACUGAAAGGAAAUUCAAAACCAUUUUGCCAAUCAGGAGUUAUUAAGAAUAUUACAUGUCAUUUAUUUUAACAUUAGUUUCACCUUGUAAGUAUGUAUGUAAAACAUUUUGUAGUCUCUUUUCUCUUGCUUUCUUACAUCUCAACUGAAUAGUCCAUAUGCUGCUGUACAGUGCAGAUAUGAGGACUUUGACGCUACUUUUCAUAUGUAUACUGAUUUUCUUUUUGUUACGACUGCCUUGUUUAUCUUUAUUUUUUAACAUAUCAGCCUGCUGGAUUAGAGUGCCUCUUGAAAUGAGCAGAAUGUUUGGAGUGGUAUACCUAAACUUUGCCUAAUUAUUUAGAGAGAGAGAGAGAGAAACCUCUCAGCGCGCUCUACUGUAGAGCACCUCUCACCAUCCUACUACAGAGUUCCUGUAAAUGUUUCUCUUAAUUUCUGUGAAAAGCAUAAAUAAAUUGUUGAUAAUGGU